rnacentral:tRNA from 1 species
GCCUUUGUAGUGUACUGGCCAGCAAACUCGACUCGUAUUUAAGAGGUCCGAGGUUUGAUUCCUGGCGAAGGCA